rnacentral:rRNA from 1 species
GUUGGUGGAGUGAUUUGUCUGGUUAAUUCCGUUAACGAACGAGACCCUAACCUGCUAAAUAGUCACGCCCACAUUUUGUGGGUGGCCGACUUCUUAGAGGGACUAUUUGUGUCUAGCAAAUGGAAGUUUGGGGCAAUAACAGG